AUAGGCACCCCCUAAGCCAAAUUUGCCCCACACCUUCCUGUCAAGGCCGCACCUCUUCUUGUUCAAGACCAACACACACUUUGACUGACAGAUACACUGAUGCAUGCACUGACAGACACUCACUGACAGACACAAUUAUUGGCACAUGCACUGUUUAACCAACACACUUUCACUGACAGACACACCCAUUCACUGACAGGCACAAAUACUCACUGAUUUGACACACAGUCACAAGUUUGGAAGAACUGAAGAUGAUACUUUCCCUGGGGUCAAGUGGGACUGAUGUCCCUGGAACCAGGAUGGUAGACAGGUGGGUUGAAAAUACAUUGUUAGCCUCGCGCUUAAUACAACCCUGGUUCUAACACCUUAGUAUUAUGACCAGCGUUACGUACUUUCAGCAGUUUGAGCUACAGUAGCUCUUGGGCGUGACGGUUCUCCUUUCCUUCACCACUUUUGGUAGAUAUUAACCCCUGCUUACUGAGAACACCCCACAUUUUGACAUUUUGGAGAUGCUCUGACCCAGUCGUCUAGCCAUCACUAUUUGCCCCUUGUCAAAGCCACUCAGGUCUUAUCGCUUACCCAUUUUCCUGCUUCCAACACAUAAAAUACAAGAGCAGACCAUUUACUUGCUGCCCAAUAUAUCCCACCACUUGACAGGUGCCGUGGUAACGAUAUAAUCAAUGUUAUUCACUUCUCCUCUCACUGGUUUUAAUGUUGUGGCUGAUUAGUGAAU